rnacentral:rRNA from 1 species
UACAGAGGGGGCAAGCGUUAUUCGGAAUUAUUGGGCGUAAAGGGCGCGUAGGCGGCAUUGUAAGUCAGGGGUGAAAUCCCUCGGCUCAACCGAGGAAUUGCCUCUGAAACUGCAUUGCUUGAGACCGGGAGAGGGUAGUGGAAUUCCCAGUGUAGCGGUGAAAUGCGUAGAUAUUGGGAGGAACACCGGUGGCGAAGGCGGCUACCUGGACCGGUUCUGACGCUGAGGCGCGAAAGUGUGGGGAGCAAACAGG